GUCUUCUCUCUUUCUCUCUUUCUCUCUAGCUCUCACCACUCUCUCCCUCUCGUGUAAUCUCUCCACCAAAGAGAAGAGUUGGAGGAGAAAUUGGAGGUUAAACUUAGAAAUAGUUGGAGAAGUAAGCUUGGUGGUGAAGCAAGCUCUCCAAUGGUGGAGUUAGCUUGGUGAGCAUGGUGGCCUAAGGAUAAUUCGAUGCGGAGAACAACUUCGUUUAGGAUUACGACGAGAUUACGGCGUCCGAUCAAGAGAUUUGCGGAAUUUGGUUCGUUAGGCUUGGGUCGAGCUAAAACGACAACGGUAAAUUGCGGGACUUGAUUUCUCGCUUUUUGACGUCAAUACGAGAGGCUGUGGAGGCUAAACAGCGGAUCACAUCAUAGGGUAGAUCACGCGAGGGUGGGUAGCUUUUCAUACUUUAUAUAUUCAACAAUGAACAGAACAUGUAGAAAAUAUUACAAAGCAGAGACCUUCAUCGAUCUAGAUCCAGUACAAGCCACCUCUGUGUACAUGUAGCGGUGCUAGGAAAUCACGAGGUGCAUUUCUCAACAUGUAAAGCGAUCUCCACUCACUUUUCUGCCGUGCGGCAUGUGGAGCGAACAUUGGAACAUUGGACAUUUGACGGAUGAUCCUAAAGCCGUCUAGAAUGAUGGAGGCUCUAGCACAUGUAAGGUUCACAUGCAGACGAUUUACCAUCCGCGUUCGGCUCGACUCAUCCAUCUGACGUCCCCUCGACAUAAGAGGUCCUUUAUUUCGAUGUCCCGUCAUCAUCGUUACUUCAUGUGUCGACAUCGGUCCCUCCAUGUGAUAUCUCAUCUAUAUCAAAGGUAUAUCAGUUUGCUAUUUCAUUCGCGCUGAUCCCUCUAUCCAACGUCCACACCGAAGGUUCACCAAGUUGAUACUAUAUAUUGACGUAAGCGACGACGGUAGAAUCAUAUUUCUAGUAAGACUAUAGUUAAGUCGAAUGAGAGAAUGCUGUCAUGUCUAUAAUUGAGACGCAUGAGAGGAUGCUGCCAUGCCUAUAAUUGAGACGCAGGAGAGGAUGCUGCCAUCGGUAGUUGAUACGCAGGGGAUGGAGCUAGGUGUCGAGAGCGCCUCCAUUGAGCAUAUUUAUCAGACACAUGGCUCAAAAGCCUAUACACCCUUAGAGGGACGAUGAUUUGCGUAUGUGAGGAUGAGGUAGGACAUCGCAGACAUGGAAGGGGCAUGGGGAGGAGCUGAUUUUGUUUGAACUUUUUUGUAUUUUGAUAUAUAUUUAAUAUUUCUAAUCUUUUA